CUCACCGCGCUCCUCACUCCUCGCAAGGGGACGGCUGCCCCGCUGCCUCCACCCCGGCAGCGGACAUACCCCGGCAGCGCCCCGCGUACCUCACAGCCCACCGCACGCCGCCGCGCAGCCAACCACCACUUCCGGCGCGCUUCCAAAAACGAUUUGUGGAGACCAGGAGAGUCACCAGGCAGAAAACCGUUCUCCUUGGAGCAAGAGUCUGCAGGGACGGGAGCACCAGCUCUUGUGAAUCGCUGACUUUGCCAGAGGGAGAAACUCAGCCGAGGAUGGCAGCGCUGUACUGUCUGGGACUCCUGUCCUGGGAGCCCGAAGGGGCGAUGAGUGCCUUCGUGGGCACAGCUAAGGACUGACAGGUCGCCAGAGGAGUCCGAGCAUCCUAGGGUGUACUGAGCUGCACGCGAAGCCCCAGCGAGGAAGUCCUGAGCUGCCACUGGACCGUUAGCCAUUCCGUUUCUUUGGACCUGGGUUUCCUUAUAUGUGAAACGAAGGAUUUGAGUGGUCAUGAUAGUUGGUCCACUGCAUUCUAUCCAGGGACUGAAAUGCUUCUGCACAGACACUUUCUCAUCAGAUGGAACAACAUGAUCAAAUAACCCAUGAUAUACAACAGAAAGGCUGAAAAGACCUCAUGAUACAGCUGGUCAUGGAGACAACUGGACUAUCAGUCUCAAAGCGGUGAAGAUCUGGAUUCCUAGACUUCCUUAAUUCAUCAACCUCUCACAGGCAAGAAAAUGAUCAGAGAGGAGGAUGGAGAGACUGAACAUGCAAGCAGAGAAUGAUCAGACCACACGUAAACUGAGAACCUCUGACCCACACCUAUGUAGGAACCAGCCUGGAAUGGUCAGAGCUUGGUCAAUGACUGCCUGUUUUCUUAUUUUUAGCUCCUAUUUCCAAAUCAGGACCAACCAGAGAAAGCCAAGUAUGUUUCCAAAAUGAAUCACGUAGCCUACCUCCGGCUUCCCCAUGCCAACAACCUCCAAUCACAACAUGCCUGAAGCCUCUCUCCACCACCCGCUUUUCUACUCUAAAAUGCUUUCCCUUCUCUGUCUGCCUUUGUGUUUCUGUCAAGAGCUAGUGCUGGUGGUUGACUCCCUUACUACAUAGCAAGUUCAAAAUAAAUAACCGCUGCUUGUUCUCA